rnacentral:misc_RNA from 1 species
AGACAUCCAUCUUAACAUUCACAUUUCUACCACAUUCAUUUUGUGGGUAUAUUGUACUUUAAAUGCCUAAUAUUCACUUCCAUACAACAUAACUGGUUUAACCUAUUCCUAUAGAACUUACUUUUCACUUUGUUAAGGAAACCAAACUUUUAAAAAAACUAACCAAACAAAACUAACCAAAAAACCAAUUAAAAAUUGUUUGGUUCAGUUCGAUUUGAUUAAAACUGAUUUUUGCUCACCUUAACAAUGCCUUCUCAAUGAUCACAUUGUGACAAUGCCUUCUCAAUGAAAUCACUUUGAGGUUGUGACUUUAGACAAUUCAAAGGUAAAUUAGUUGUCUAGCAUGUUGAGAACUUGAUAUCCUUCUUUAGUUGCUUAACUUCCUUUGUGACACUACCCUUAAUCUGUUAUUGCUUAAUAAUAUUACCUUUGUGCAAGAUGAGAGUUCUUUUUUUUCCCCCCUUUUUUAUAUAAUUGAAAGAAUGAAUGUUGAGAAAUUGAAAUACGUAUGUUGUUUUCUCUACCAAAGGCAAAUUGCAAGACCAAUGAUAUUUCUGGUUUUUAGGGCUCACGAGAACAAGAUUAUUCUCUUUUGCUUCUAACUGUAAUUGGGUCCCCAAGUAGUAACUCACAGUCAAAUAUUGGCUACCUUUGGGGCUUUUGUUGCCACUGGAAUAAACUCAGACCCAAAAUUGGCCCAAUCGACUAAGCGAACCAAAAUAUUUCAGUUUGGUUCAAUUUGGUUUACUUAUUAUUUCAAUUCGAUUUGGUCUAUAAAAUAAGUGAUUCAGUUCUUUGGUUUUUUUUGUUCAAUUCAAAAUCAAUCUGACCAAUUGACCUUAAGUAUGAGAAGGUGAAGUGAAAUUUUAAGAUUAUAUAAAUACCUUUAUUUUUUAGAGAGAUAUAUUUUAAUAUUUAAAUAAGGACAAA